rnacentral:rRNA from 1 species
UACGGAGGAUCCAAGCGUUAUCCGGAAUCAUUGGGUUUAAAGGGUCCGUAGGCGGUUUGGUAAGUCAGUGGUGAAAGCCCAUCGCUCAACGGUGGAACGGCCAUUGAUACUGCCAGACUUGAAUUAUUAGGAAGUAACUAGAAUAUGUAGUGUAGCGGUGAAAUGCUUAGAGAUGACAUAGAACACCUAUUGCGAAGGCAGCUUACUACGCAGAUAUUGACGCUCAUGCACGAAAGCGUGGGGAUCAAACAGG